UUCACAAUCAGAAAGAGAAACGGCCUUCGUAAUUUUCAAGUAAAAUAGAGGAAAAAUAUCGAGUUAUCGUUGAAAUCUUCCAUUCAGGCAGAAUAGAUCGAAGAUCCAACUUACACAUCAAGCAAACCCUAGAAAUCAAACUACACAAUCGAAAACAAUCAGUCGAAGUUGAUAUCGAACAAGAAGAGAAAUCCAGAUCUAUCGAUGUUCGGGCUCUGAUACCAUGUUAACAUUCGAAGAAGAAGAUGAAAAGUGUGAAAAACAUUGGAAAUCAGUAGAACUUUCUAGAGAGAGAAAGAGGAGAGAAGGCGGCGCAUUUCUCAUUAUCUGGAAGUGAAAAAAUGGACCAUUCAAGUCUCAAAAAUAUGUCACUACCCACUUAUAUACAAACACAUGGACCUGAUCAUAACAGAAAAGAAACAAUUUAAUUAUCGGGCCAAGCCUAUUACAGCCAAUAAACAAAGUGGCCAAAUGGCUUAAAACAUCUAGUCUCCAACAGAUUCAUCUCAACUAAGUUCAAAGUUUCAUCAAUAUGUUUGCUUAACUUCAAUAUUUAUAACCAAUUUACCUUCUUCUUUUUUUAAUUUCGUUACAACUCUUAAUUAGUUUACCUAAACUACGAGUCAUACUAUUUUCUUAUAAAACAAAAACAUAAAGGGUGAAUUAAUCAGAAACUAUCUUCUACCUAAACUACAAAUCACUCUUUUCCCUUAAAUGUGUACAUCUAAAGUUAAAGAGUAUAGCUACGAGUCUGCUAGUUGAGAACAAGUUAAAGAGCACGUUUACAUAUUAUGUCUUUUCUUAAAAAACCAAUAGGGAUAAAAUAGUCAAAGACAACCUUUUAAGUCAUUCGUCACGUAGAAUGCCACAUAGGACAAGAUUUUCUUAUUAUAAUUUACAAUGAAAACUUUGAAAAAGAUUUUUAUUAUUCUCAAACGUUCAUUACAUAAAUAAGUUAACCACUGAAAAUAAUUUUUUACUUGAAAAUAAUCUAAAAACUGACAUUCUCUUCAUCUGGACCUCUUAGUUAUGUUGUUGGGAUAUACUAAUUACAAUAAUAAAAUAUCAGUAUAUUUACACCAAGUGAGGUCUGGGGAGGUUAAGUGUACAAGACCAUACCACUACCUCAAAUGUGAGAUAGAGAGACUUUGGGAUAUACUAAUUAAAUAUUAAAAUAACCAUAUAAUUUCCAUAAAUAAAUUCUAUGCAAUUUGAAUCUGAGUUAGUCGUAUCUCAAUACAAAUAUCAAAUAUUAAUCGAGAAACAAGAAAAUACUUUUAGUUUUUCCAAAGUCCAAUUUUGCAAAUGCAAAUUGUUGCUUAUCAGCAAUGACUACAAUCUCCAAAUUAAUUCUAUAUGCCAACUUUGAGCAAGUGGAAUAAUUAUAUGACAUUUGAAAAUGUCAAAUCAACUCAAUUGAAUAAAUCUAUGUCGUACCAACGAAUAACUUCUCUCUAAUAGGUUAUUUCGGAUAUGUAACAACUAACAACCAUCCAAAUCGCUGGUGAGAGAUAACAGGUAUUUUGUAAAAUUAAUCAAAGUGUGUACAAACCACAAACUGACUUAAAUAACACAAUUGUCACAAAAAAAAAUAUAUAUUACCAAUGCAAAUUUUUAACACACUUGUAAAAAAAAAAAAAAAAAAUAUUUCCAAGUAAUGUUACAGAUGCAAAUUUUUAAACCUAAUUUUCAUGAACUUUACACCUCAUCUAUCCAUUUUCCCACUUAACCAAGUUUAAGGUUUCAUCAAUAUGUUUGCUUAACUUCAAUAUUUGUUUAUUUCUUUUGAUUUCUCAUCCGGUGUUCGGUGCCCUUAUUGGAGCCUCGACUAAUUCGAAUCGCGCGUUGCAGAGCCUAUUAAUUGAUCUACUUUUUUUUUUAUUUGAUUACAACUCUUAAGUAGUUUACCUAAACUACCAAUCACACUUUUUCCUUUAAAAAAAAAAACAAAAAGGGUAAAUUAGUCAAAAACAAACUUUUCCUUACUUCAAUAUGUAACUUCUCUACUUAGUUUACCUUUUUAUUUUUUGGGUUAACUCUUAAUUAUUUUACCUUAACUACCAAAGACACCAUUUUCUUUCCUAGGCAAAAUACAUAAACUUGCCCCUUAACUUGGUCUCAACUUAUAUUUAUAGCCUUUAACUUUGAACAUGCACUUGAACUUAUAUAAAAUUAAUCAAAUAGACACACGUGUCCUACAUAAUAUCUCACAUGAAGAUGCCACGUAGAACGUUACUUAUUUAAUUUUAUACAAGUUCUUCAUGUUAUAUGCGUGCACAAUUGGUUUAACUUUAUACAAGUGCUUGUGAAAAUGUGGUUUAAAAACCUACAACGAUAACGUUGUUUGAAAAUAUAAUUUUUGAUAUUUUUUCUGGGACAACUGUGUUAUUCAAGCCAGUUGUGAGCACAUAUAACAUGGGGUGCUUUUCUUUUUCUUCAUGUUUUGAAAAUUGACGCUUCAAUUCAUACAGUUCAAAUGCUGGGGGUUUUCUUUUCCCAUUGCAUGUUGGUCCUCUAUUUCAUCUACAACCUUAUCUUUUGUAGGUUCAAAGAUUAAUUUUUUAUUUUGUAGAUCUGUGUUGAGGCAAUCACAUGGAAGAGUGGAGAUAUGUGCUAAAAUUGAUUCAAUUUCAGAUUCUUGAUUUUCUCCUAACGGUAGCAUUUUUAGGAGAAAAUCAAGAAUCUGAAAUUGAAGCAGUUUUAUCACCUAUCUCCACUCCUCCACGUGAUUACCUCAACAAAGAUCUGCAAAAUGAAAAAUCAAUUUUCUGAACCUGCAAAAAUAAGGUUGUAGAUGAAACAGAGGAUCAAAAAGCAAAAGAAAAAAGAAAGUCCAUCCCCAAAACCCCCCCCCCAUAUUUGAAAUGUAUGAAUUGAAGCAUCAAUUUCAAUGAAGAAAAAGGAAAGCAUCCCACGUUAUACGUGCUCAUAAACUGGCUUGAAUUAACACAAUUGUCACAGAAAAAAAUCAAAAUGAUAUUUUCAAACAAUGUAAUUGAAGCAAGUUUUAAAACCAAUUUUCCACGAACUUCACACCUCAACUAUCUAUUAUUUCUGUUAGCAUUCGAAGAAGAAGAUGAAAAGCGUAAAAAACAAUGGAAACCAGUCAAACUUUCUAGAGAGAGAGAGAAGAGAGAAAGCGGAGCAUUUUUCAUUAUCUGAAAGAUAAAAAAUGGACCAUUCAAGCCGCAAAAAUAUCUCACUACCUAUCUAUAUACAAAACAUAUGGACCGGGUCAUAAGAAGAAAGAAAUAAUUUAAUCGAGCCGAGCCCACUAAAACCAAUAAACAAAGUGGCUUAAUGGCCCAAAACAUCUAGUCUCAAAACCCUCCCCCCCAACCCCACCCCCCACCCCUUCCUUCGCAAGUUGGAGUGGGAAACAACUCCCAACUUGUGCGGAUAAGCAUGAUGUUGAGCACCAGGUAAGCACUUAGUAAACAUAUCUGCAAGCUGAGAAGAACUAGAAGUAUGGGAUAGGAACAACAGUCUUUCAGCCAACUUAGUGCGCAAAAAAUGACAGUCGAGUUCUACUUGAGAAAGCAUACAUAAGCUGAACAAAACAUUAUCAUCGACAAGCUUACUAGCAAAGGCAGCAAAAUACAUCAGAGAUGAUGGAGAUGAAGUAGAUCCAGGUCCAGAUGAACAUAUAUGAGUUUGUUGUAAUAGGGACAACAACUGAGAAUGUUGCUCAGCAGUCAAUCUAGGGAGCCCAGGAUUAGAGAAACCAGGAGCAGGUUCUAGAUGGGAAUAAAUUGCAACUUCAACACGUGCAGCAGUUUUCUUACAUCCCAUGGACUUAGCGAACUUGUAACCAGGUGGAAAACCAUGUACUUUAUAGCAUUUAUCAAUGUUAUGGCCUAGUUUCUUGCAAUACUUACAAAUCAGGUUGGUCUUAGUAUGAAGAAAGUCAAAGUUUGCCCUUGAUGGGAAAGAGGAGUUGUUUCUUACAACCCCAGCAUUUAAAGAGGUAGAUCCAGAAGAAAAAGACAAGAAUGAACUAAUAAAGACUUGCUUUUGCUUCUCAUCAUUCAAGAGUCGGUCAUAUGCAGUACCAACAGACGGUAGAGGUUUCAUGAGGAGUAUAUGACUACUUAGGCAUAGGUUUCAUUCAGCCCUAGCAAAAAACUGAUAAAGUUCAUUCUCAUCCUUUUGAUACAGGCCUUAGCUCCACAAGUGCAAGACCUAACUCGUUUAGUGGAGAUGGAUGCUAUCUCAUCCUAUAGUUUCUUAAUACGAUUAAAAUAAAAUGAAAUAUCUAGAGAACCCUGAGAAAUGUGUGUGAGUUUCUUCCUCGACUCAAAUACCCCCGCACCAUCAAAUUUUCCAUACCUAUCGUCAAGUUUAUUCCUUACCUCACUUGCAAGUUCAGAGUAUUCUACAUUUCUAAUGAUUUUCUUAUUCAAGGAGUUAAGGAGACAGGAAAGGACUAGGUCAUUACAUCUUUGCCACUACCUAGCUAAGAGAGACUCAGAGGAAAGGUGCACAUAACUACCAUCGGCAAAUUCUAAUUUAUCACUUCAAAGAGAGUUACCAAAAUAGUGCGUCCCCAACUAGCAUUGCCAGUUCCACCAAAGGGGACAACCACAAGAGAACCUUCCAAAAACAUCAGAAGGAUGGACAUAAAGGGGAUGAUAAGGAUGAGUAAUAUCAUCCUUGUGAAACUCAGUUCUAGGUAAUGCAAUAAACUUAUUAGGGGAAGAUGAAUUAGGGACUUCUUCAAUUAUGUUACCAAAUAGACGACACAAUACCAAACGUGUAGUCAAAAUAACAAAACCAAAGUAUCCGAGGACUAAAAUAGUAGCAGAUCCACGAUAAUGUUCCAAAAAAAACCGAUACACCAUAGGAAUAAGUGAAGAAGAAUACUAGACACUUUCACAAUCGGAAAGAGAAACGACCUUCGUAAUUUUCAAGUAAAAUAGGGGAAAAAUAUCGAGUUAUUGUCGAAAUCUUCCAUUCAGGCAGAAUAUAUCGAAGACCCAACUUACACACCAAGCAAACCCUAGAAAUCAAACCAUGAUAUCGAACAAGAAGAGAAAUCCAGAUCUAUCGAUGUCCAGGCUCUGAUACCAUCUUAACAUUCGAAGAAGAAGAUGAAAAGCAUGAAAAAUAAUGGAAACCAGUAGAACUUUCUAGAGAGAGAAAGAGGAGAGAAGGCAGCACAUUUCUCAUUAUCUGAAAGUGAAA
rnacentral:lncRNA from 1 species